GCCAUACAUGCAAGUCGAGCGGAAUGAUGAAGAAGCUUGCUUCUUCUGAUUUUAGCGGCGGACGGGUGAGUAACACGUGGGCAACCUACCUUGUAGAUUGGGAUAACUCCGGGAAACCGGGGCUAAUACCGAAUAAUCCAUUUUGCUUCAUGGCAAGAUGUUGAAAGGCGGCUUCGGCUGUCACUACGAGAUGGGCCCGCGGCGUAUUAGCUAGUUGGUAGGGUAAUGGCCUACCAAGGCGACGAUACGUAGCCGACCUGAGAGGGUGAUCGGCCACACUGGGACUGAGACACGGCCCAGACUCCUACGGGAGGCAGCAGUAGGGAAUCUUCCACAAUGGACGAAAGUCUGAUGGAGCAACGCCGCGUGAGUGAAGAAGGUUUUCGGAUCGUAAAACUCUGUUGUAAGGGAAGAACACGUACGAGAGUAACUGCUCGUACCUUGACGGUACCUUAUUAGAAAGCCACGGCUAACUACGUGCCAGCAGCCGCGGUAAUACGUAGGUGGCAAGCGUUGUCCGGAAUUAUUGGGCGUAAAGCGCGCGCAGGCGGUUCUUUAAGUCUGAUGUGAAAGCCCACGGCUCAACCGUGGAGGGUCAUUGGAAACUGGAGAACUUGAGUACAGAAGAGGAAAGCGGAAUUCCACGUGUAGCGGUGAAAUGCGUAGAGAUGUGGAGGAACACCAGUGGCGAAGGCGGCUUUCUGGUCUGUAACUGACGCUGAGGCGCGAAAGCGUGGGGAGCAAC
rnacentral:rRNA from 1 species